rnacentral:rRNA from 1 species
UACGAAGGGUGCAAACGUUGCUCGGAAUUACUGGGCGUAAAGCGCACGUAGGUGGCGACGUAAGUCGGGUGUGAAAGCCCCGGGCUCAACCUGGGAAUUGCAUUCGAGACUGCAUUGCUGGAGUACGGAAGAGGAAGGCGGAAUUCCCGGUGUAGCGGUCGAAAUGCGUAGAUAUCGGGAGGAACAUCAGUGGCGAAGGCGGCCUUCUGGUCCAGUACUGACACUCAAG